GCCUACGUGCGCGGGCGGGAGCGACCCGUGGCUCCGGCGUGAACCCGCGGCCCCCGCACCCGCAGCGCCGUGGUCUCGGGCGGGGGCGCUGACCCCGGCGUUCAGGAUCCGCACACACCCCGGGAAACUCAAGCUCCCGGAGAGGGGAAGGAGCGGCAGCAUCGACAUCCCAAGGGCUCCUGUCCCGGUCCCAUCCCCUUCCCGCUCAGCUCACGCCUCGCGUCUCUGCCAAAGGAGGAAGUUCUCCUGUGCUAAACAAUGAGCUGUCGCUGGUGUCUCAGCCGUGACCCUCUCCCAGGGGCAAUCAGGGCCGCCCGUGCCAAGGCUCAGCUCUCGCGCUGCUCCCUUCUAUUUGGAGGGGAACUCUCAAGGAGGAUCCAACUGCCCAGAAACCCCUGCCUCGGGAGGGACCAGUUCUGCUCUAAGGAGUCCACGCUUGGGCAAUGGGUUUGGAUUUCCAAGUCCAGUUGCCAAGUCUCUAUCUCCUCCUGGCUAAUCUGCCAGUAUUUGAAGCAAUCUGCCACCAAGUGAGUGGUGAUACCUUAAAUUUUCAAAUGACUAGACUCCCAUAAGUAAGAUUCACUGAGUUUGAGAGUAUAGCAUGUGUGUAAUAAGUUACACAUGUAAAAGGUAAAACUUGGGAUACGGAUGUGGCUCAAGUAGUUGGCCUCCUGUUUACAUAUAGGAGGUCCAGGGUUAGAUGCCCAGGGCCUCCUGGUGAAGGCGAGCUGGCCUGCGCGGCGAGCUGGCCCACGUGGAGUACCGGCCCACACGGUAGUGCCGCCCCACACAGGAAUGCCACCCCAUGCAGGAGUGUCGCUCCGCACAGGAGUGGAGAACUGGCGCAGCAAGAUGAUGCCACAAGAGACACAAUGAGAAUAUAAGCAGACACAGAAGAACACACAGCAAACGGACAGAGAGCAGACAAUGGUGGGGAAGGGGGAGGAGAAAUAAAUAAAUAAAUCUUUAAAAAAAAAAAAAACUAAAACUCCAGCCACCCCACUUCCUCUGCCACUCUUCUUACUUGACCAGGUUGGUUUUGGGCUCUGAAAGAGCUAUUCUGGCACACUGGAGUCCUCCUCUGGGUCCAAGACACUAAAAAUUCCUUUACGUUCUCCUCAUUUUGUAGACAAAACAAUCUAGGCAAAUGUAGAAAAGAAUUUUAUGGGAAAAAAGAGGCUCAGUAAAGAAAGGUCCCAAGAUGAAUGAGAGUGUUAAUAACUGCUGCUUACCCACUGGAAUUCAGUGCAAUUUGUGUGAACAAGAUUAUGAGUCAGUAUUAUGUCAGCCUUGCGCGCUGAGUAUACGUGCAGUCUCCCAAAGCAGAACUAGGUCUAAAAUGUAAUAGUUCUCUUUCAGGGCUCAGUUACUCACCACUUUCAAGUAACUGUUUUCCUCUUCUCAUUUCAGUGGCUUCCCAUAUAUGUCCUCUCUCUUUUGUAUUUAUAAUGCAUACUGACAUUUUGUAUUGUUGUUUUUAAAUUUUCAUUGUGGUAACAAAUAAAUAACCAAGUUUGCCCUCUAAACCCUGUCUAAGUGUACAAUGCAGUGGCAUUAACUACGUGCACAGUUUGUGUGUUAACAAAACUUACCCAUCACCCCAAACAGAAUCUCUGUACUCAUUAGGCAGUGACCUCCCAUCCCCGCAUCUGUCUGUCCCUGGUAACUGCUAAUCAACCCUCUGUCUCUUGGAAUUUGCUUAUUCUAGAUAUUUCUUAUGAGUAGAGGCAUACACUAUUUGUCCUUUCAUGUGUUUUUCUCACUUAGCAUAAUGUUUUCAAGGCCCAACCAUGUGGUAGCAUGAUCAGCACUCAUUCCUCUGUGAGGCUGAGUAAUAUUCCAUUGUGUAUAUGUACCACAUUUUAUUUAUCCAUUCAUCUGUGGACGGACACUUGAGUUGUUUCCACCUUUUGGCUUUUGCUAAUGCUGCUAUAAAAACUGGUGUACAAGUAUCUAUC
rnacentral:lncRNA from 1 species